rnacentral:rRNA from 1 species
ACUCAAAGGAAUUGACGGGGACUCGCACAAGCAGUGGAGCAUGUGGUUUAAUCCGAUACAACGCGUAGAACCUUACCAAGGCUUGACAUGGCCGGCAAAGUUGUUGAAAGGCAAUGGAGGUUAUCCGGUCACAGGUGCUGCAUGGCCGUCGUCAGUUCGUGCCGUGAGGUGUAUGGUUAAGUCCUAUAACGAACGUAACCCUUAGGCUUAGUUGCCAGCAUUAAGUUGGGGACUCUAAGCCGACUGCCCGAGUAAUCGGGAGGAAGGAAAGGAUGACGUCUGGUCGUCAUGGCCCUUAUGCCUUGGGCGACACACGUGCUACAAUGGCUAAUACAAAGGGACGCCAACCCGUGAGGGGGAGCAAAUCUCAAAAAAUUAGCCUCAGUUCGGAUUGGAGGCUGCAACUCGCCUCCAUGAAGUUGGAAUUGCUAGUAAUCGCAAAUCAGCCAUGUUGCGGUGAAUACGUUCUCGAGUCUUGUACACACCGCCCGU